rnacentral:rRNA from 1 species
UUCGGAUCUAGUGGCGGACGGGUUAGUAACGCGUGGGAACGUACCCUUCACUACGGAAUAGUCCCGGGAAACUGGGUUUAAUACCGUAUACGCCCUUCGGGGGAAAGAAUUUCGGUGAGGGAUCGGCCCGCGUUAGAUUAGUUAGUUGGUGGGGUAAUGGCCUACCAAGACUACGAUCUAUAGCUGGUUUGAGAGGAUGAUCAGCAACACUGGGACUGAGACACGGCCCAGACUCCUACGGGAGGCAGCAGUGGGGAAUCUUAGACAAUGGGGGCAACCCUGAUCUAGCGAUGCCGCGUGAGUGAUGAAGGCCUUAGGGUCGUAAAGCUCUUUCGCCUGUGAUGAUAAUGACAGUAGCAGGUAAAGAAACCCCGGCUAACUCCGUGCCAGCAGCCGCGGUAAUACGGAGGGGGUUAGCGUUGUUCGGAAUUACUGGGCGUAAAGCGCACGUAGGCGGAUUAGUCAGUCAGAGGUGAAAUCCCAGGGCUCAACCCUGGAACUGCCUUUGAUACUGCUAGUCUUGAGUUCGAGAGAGGUAAGUGGAAUUCCGAGUGUAGAGGUGAAAUUCGUAGAUAUUCGGAGGAACACCAGUGGCGAAGGCGGCUUACUGGCUCGAUACUGACGCUGAGGUGCGAAAGUGUGGGGAGCAAACAGGAUUAGAUACCCUGGUAGUCCACACCGUAAACGAUGAAUGCCAGUCGUCGGGUAGCAUGCUAUUCGGUGACACACCUAACGGAUUAAGCAUUCCGCCUGGGGGAGUACGGGUCGCAAGAUUAAAACUC